UGUUGUGUUAGGUAAUAAAUUUAUUAUCUAACCAUUACACAACCAUAAUCAAUUGCUGCCAUACACAACACCUUCGAUUUGUAACACGUUCAAUAAACACUUCCUUCGUUCUCUAUCUAACCAUUACACAGCCAUAAUCAAUUUAUUACCUAAAACAACCAUUACACAACCAUUAGACAACCAUUUAUUACCGACGAUGUCCCACCCAUUAACCAUUAACACUUUCGUAAUCGAUUUCAAACACAUUCAACACACUACAACUUUGUUCUCUAUCUAACUAUUACACA
rnacentral:lncRNA from 1 species